rnacentral:rRNA from 1 species
CCUACGGGGGGCAGCAGUGGGGAAUAUUGGACAAUGGGGGCAACCCUGAUCCAGCCAUGCCGCGGGUGUGAAGAAGGCCCUCGGGUUGUAAAGCACUUUCAGUGAGGAAGAACGCCUGGUGGUUAAUACCCAUCAGGAAAGACAUCACUCACAGAAGAAGCACCGGCUAACUCCGUGCCAGCAGCCGCGGUAAUACGGAGGGUGCGAGCGUUAAUCGGAAUUACUGGGCGUAAAGCGCGCGUAGGUGGCUUGAUAAGCCGGUUGUGAAAGCCCCGGGCUCAACCUGGGAACGGCAUCCGGAACUGUCAAGCUAGAGUGCAGGAGAGGAAGGUAGAAUUCCCGGUGUAGAGGUGAAAUGCGUAGAGAUCGGGAGGAAUACCAGUGGCGAAGGCGGCCUUCUGGACUGACACUGACACUGAGGUGCGAAAGCGUGGGUAGCAAACAGGAUUAGAUACCCUAGUAGUC